rnacentral:rRNA from 1 species
GACGAACGCUGGCGGCGUGCUUAACACAUGCAAGUCGAACGCUGAAGACCUGGCUUUUGUUGGGUUGGAUGAGUGGCGAACGGGUGAGUAACACGUGAGUAACCUGCCCUCUUCUUUGGGAUAACGCCCGGAAACGGGUGCUAAUACUGGAUAUUCACUGGCCUUCGCAUGGGGGUUGGUGGAAAGGUUUGUUCUGGUGGGGGAUGGGCUCGCGGCCUAUCAGCUUGUUGGUGGGGUGAUGGCCUACCAAGGCUUUGACGGGUAGCCGGCCUGAGAGGGUGACCGGUCACAUUGGGACUGAGAUACGGCCCAGACUCCUACGGGAGGCAGCAGUGGGGAAUAUUGCACAAUGGGCGAAAGCCUGAUGCAGCGACGCCGCGUGAGGGAUGGAGGCCUUCGGGUUGUAAACCUCUUUCGCUCAUGGUCAAGCCGCAACUGUGGGUUGUGGUGAGGGUAGUGGGUAAAGAAGCGCCGGCUAACUACGCG